rnacentral:rRNA from 1 species
UACAGAGGGGGCAAGCGUUGUUCGGAAUUACUGGGCGUAAAGGGCGCGUAGGCGGCCUGCUAAGUCGAACGUGAAAUCCCCGGGCUCAACCCGGGAACUGCGUCCGAUACUGGUUGGCUUGAAUCCGGGAGAGGGAUGCGGAAUUCCAGGUGUAGCGGUGAAAUGCGUAGAUAUCUGGAGGAACACCGGUGGCGAAGGCGGCAUCCUGGACCGAGAUUGACGCUGAGGCGCGAAAGCCAGGGGAGCAAACGGG